rnacentral:rRNA from 1 species
ACCGGGGAUUUAAUAUUUUCGCCCUUCCCUUCGCGCCGCUCACAGUGUUAUUUUUCCGGCCCCUUUUGACCGUGCAAAGGCCCCCCUAUCAUUAGAUCUUUAAAUGGAAACUUGUCUGAGUGGUUGGACGAAGAAAAAGCUGUCUCUCCUAUUAAAAUUGAAAUUAACUUCUAAGUGAAAAGGCUUAGAUUUUCUAGAGGGACGAUAAGACCCUAUAAUAGCUUUAUAAAUCCAGCAAGUUAGAACAAAUUUUUUAUAAUAAAGGUAAAUUUAAUAUAUUUAUUUGGUGGGGGGGACAAUGGUAUAAUAUUAAAUAACUGCUACUAAAAUUAAACAACUAUAUUUGACUAAAAUUAUAAUUGAUCCUUAUAAUGGAUUAAAAGAUCACGUCACUUUAGGGAUAACAGCGUAAUUUCUUUUAAGAGUUCUUAUGAAAGAAGAAGCUUGCGACCUCGAUGAUGAAUUAAAAUGUCUUCAUCGCGCAGAAGCUGUAAAAGAAGGUCUGCGCAACCUUCAAUUUUUUACGCGAGCUGAGUUCAGACCGGA